rnacentral:lncRNA from 1 species
AAACUAGUAUAAACAAUUUACAGUGGUAUAGACAAAAUUCAGGUAGAGGCCUUGUCCACCUAAUUUUAAUACGUUCAAAUGAAAGAGAGAAACACAGUGGAAGAUUAAGAGUCACGCUUGACACUUCCAAGAAAAGCAGUUCCUUGUUGAUCACGGCUUCCCGGGCAGCAGACACUGCUUCUUACUUCUUGUUUGUCACAGUGUGACAACUGACAGCUGGGGGAAAUUCCAGUUUGGAGCAGGGACCCAGGUUGUGGUCACCCCAGUAUCCAGAACCCUGACCCUGCCGUGUACCAGCUGA